UUGGCAGACCAGACGAACGCUGCUUGCCCCUGUUUACAGUGGGUAAGGGGAGGAAAGUCCGGGCUACACAGGGCAGAGUGCCAGCUAACGGCUGGGGGGCGUAAGCCUACGACAAGUGCAGCAGAGAGUAGACCGCCUUAGCAAUAAGGUAAGGGUGAAAGGGUGGGGUAAGAGCCCACCGCAUGACUGGUAACAGUUCAUGGCAAGGUAAACUCCACUCGUAGCAAGACCAAAUAGGUGUCCGUAUGGCGUUGCCCGCGUUGGACACGGGUAGGUUGCUUGAGCGUAUUGGUAACGAUACGCCUAGAUGAAUGUUCGUCCUAGACAGAACCCGGCUUAUCGGUUUGCCAUGCUU
rfam:Enhydrobacter aerosaccus SK60 contig00045, whole genome shotgun sequence.